rnacentral:rRNA from 1 species
UACGGAAGGCAGCAGUGGGGAAUAUUGCACAAUGGGCGCAAGCCUGAUGCAGCCAUGCCGCGUGUAUGAAGAAGGCCUUCGGGUUGUAAAGUACUUUCAGUCGUGAGGAAGGUGUUAAGGUUAAUAACCUUAGCAAUUGACGUUAGCGACAGAAGAAGCACCGGCUAACUCCGUGCCAGCAGCCGCGGUAAUACGGAGGGUGCGAGCGUUAAUCGGAAUUACUGGGCGUAAAGGGCACGCAGGCGGUUAAUUAAGUUGGAUGUGAAAUCCCCGGGCUUAACCUGGGAAUGGCAUUCAAGACUGGUUAGCUAGAGUCUUGUAGAGGGGGUAGAAUUCCAUGUGUAGCGGUGAAAUGCGUAGAGAUGUGGAGGAAUACCGGUGGCGAAGGCGGCCCCUGGCAAAGACUGACGCUCA